UUUGUAAAUUAAUUAAAAUAACCUAAUAAGACAAAUGAUAAAAGCUAUCAUUUUUUUUCAUUCUUUCUUCUUCAACCGUGGGAAAGAACAGAAAAUAGCAGCCAUGGAUGAGCUCCAUUCGGCCAAGCUUUUAUGGCUUAUAUAGAUGAUGAAAAUUGAGACUUGGACCUAGAACGGAAAGAAAUCGAUUUAUGGACGAGUAUGUCCUUUUCACAUUUGUGGUAUCGAGAGUUUCCAGGUUAGCUCGGGUUGGAGGCCGUCAGAGAUAUUAUCACCCUAUCGAGUUAACGUUAUCGGAGUAAGUAAACUCAAGUGAUUCGAGUCUAUGGCAUGUAUAGGGUUUUAAUGUGAGUAUGUAAUAUUAUGAUUUAGCCAAAGGCAUUGGCUUGUUAUUAAGGUAGUAUUAGUCAUGUAAAUUGGCCUAUGUCGGCUAAUGACAUUAUGGGCCCAUAUGAUUAUUCUUAUGCAUGUAUGUUAUUAUCUCUUGUGAUGUGGCUUACAACAUGUAUACCUAGAGAUUGAAUUGAGAUUCAUUGAUGAGCUAGUAACUAAUGCAGGAUUAAGUGAUUGGUAAAUAGUUAAUAA